UACGUAGGGUGCGAGCGUUAAUCGGGAUUACUGGGCGUAAAGCGUGCGCAGGCGGUUUUGUAAGUCAGUAGUGAAAUACCCCAGCUCAACUGGGGGGGUGCUAUUGAUACUGCAUGGCUUGAGUACAGAUGAGGUAGGCGGAAUUGACGGUGUAGCGGUGAAAUGCAUAGAUAUCGUCAAGAACACCGAUAGCGAAGGCAGCUUACUAAGUUGUAACUGACGCUGAUGCACGAAAGUGUGGGGAUCAAACAGG
rnacentral:rRNA from 1 species